UACGUAGGCAGCGAGCGUUGUUCGGAAUUACUGGGCGUAAAGAGUGUGUAGGCGGUGCUCUAAGUUCGGUGUGAAAUCUCCCGGCUUAACCGGGAGGGUGCGCCGGAAACUGGAGUGCUCGAGCGUGGGAGAGGAAAGCGGAAUUCCUGGUGUAGCGGUGAAAUGCGUAGAUAUCAGGAGGAACACCUGCGGUGUAGACGGCUUUCUGGACCAUUGCUGACGCUGAGACACGAAAGCGUGGGUAGCAAACAGG
rnacentral:rRNA from 1 species